rfam:Triticum aestivum genome assembly, contig: Triticum_aestivum_CS42_TGACv1_scaffold_031346_1BL
AAGGUACUCCCUCCGUCCGGAAAUACUUGUCAUCAAAAUGAAUAAAAGGGGAUGUAUCUAGAUGUAUUUUAGUUCUAGAUACAUCUCUUUUUAUAUAUUUUGAUGACAAGUAUUCUCGGACGGAGAAAGUAACAG